ACAGAGGUGCCACAUCGCUGUCCUCAUCUCGUGUUGUGAUGUGUGGUGUAAAGCCCCCGCAGAGAGCGCACCUCUUGUUUCUUUUUAACAUCGUUUGGUUGGGCACUCUAGUGAGACUGCCGGUGACAAACCGGAGGAAGGUGGGGAUGACGUCAAGUCCUCAUGGCCUUAUGGGUAGGGCUUCACACGUCAUACAAUGGUCGGUACAGAGGGUUCCAAGCCGCGAGGUGGAGCCAAUCCCUUAAAGCCGAUCGUAGUCCGGAUCGUAGUCUGCAACUCCGGCUGCGUGAAGUCGGAAUCGCUAGUA
rnacentral:rRNA from 1 species